rnacentral:tRNA from 1 species
GGUAGGGUGGUCGAACGAUUAGACGGGGGGCUGUAAACCUCCGCACGGGGUUUGACUCCCCCCCUAUCA